rnacentral:rRNA from 1 species
GAUUUCUGGUACGGCGCACUUGGCCCGCUUCGGUUACGAGGUCGAGUGCCGGUGUGCGCCUGCCAUCCUUCUAGACAUUGCAUAUCUUCUCCCUUCAGUGGGUUUUGGGGUAUUGUCAAUCUAGAUCAUUUACUUUGAAAAAAUUAGAGUGUUUAAAGCAGGCUUACGCUGUGAAUACAUUAGCAUGGAAUAAUAAUUUAGGACUUUGGUCUUAUUUUGUUGGUUUCUAGGACUAAAGUAAUGAUUGAUAGGGACAGUUGGGGGUGCUAGUAUUCAGCGGCCAGAGGUGAAAUUCUUGGAUUCGCUGAAGACUAACUUAUGCGAAAGCAUU